GAUGAACGCUGGCGGCAUGCCUAACACAUGCAAGUCGAUCGGUAAGGCUCUUCGGAGUACCCGAGAGGCGGACGGCUGAGUAACGCGUAGGAACACACCCUGCAGUUAGUGAUAAGACACCGAAAGGUGUUCUAAUACCGCAUACGGUCUUCGGAUUAAAGCAUUUAUGCGCUGAAGGAGUGGCCUGCGUCAUAUUAGAUAGUUGGUGAGGUAAUGGCUCACCAAGUCGAUGAUGUGUAGCUGGUCUGAGAGGAUGAUCAGCCAGACUGGAACUGAGACACGGUCCAGACUCCUACGGGAGGCAGCAGUGAGGAAUAUUGCACAAGGAGCGAGAGCUGGAUGGAGCAAUGCCGCGUGGAGGAUGAAGGCCCUCGGGUUGUAAGCUGCUUUUAUAAGAGAAGAUUAUGACGGUAACUUAUGAAUAAGGGACGGCUAACUACGUG
rnacentral:rRNA from 1 species